GAUGAAGAACGCAGCGAAAUGCGAUAAGUAAUGUGAAUUGCAGAAUUCAGUGAAUCAUCGAAUCUUUGAACGCACCUUGCGCCCUUUGGACAUUCCGAAGGGCAUGCCUGUUUGAGUAUCAUGAACACCUCAACUCUCACGGCUUGUCCGUGAUGAGCUUGGACUUUGGGGGUCUUGCCGGCCUGUGGUCGGCUCCUCUCAAAUGGAUCAGCUUGCCAGUGUUUGGUGGCAUCACAGGUGUGAUAACUAUCUGCGCUUGUGGUUUUCCAUCAGAUAACCUUCAGUGAUAUGGAGGUUCGCUGGAGCUCACAAAUGUCUCUCCUUAGUGAGGACAGCUCUUUGAACGUUUGAUCUCAAAUCAGGUAGGACUACCCGCUGAACUUAAGCAUAUCAAUAAGCGGAG
rnacentral:misc_RNA from 1 species